rnacentral:tRNA from 1 species
GCUGGAGUAGCUCAGCUGGUAGAGCAUGUGCAUGGUAAGCACAAGGUCACCGGUUCAAUCCCGGUCUCCAGCU